rnacentral:rRNA from 1 species
UACAGAGGGGGCAAGCGUUGUUCGGAAUUACUGGGCGUAAAGGGCGCGUAGGCGGCCUUCUAAGUCGAACGUGAAAUCCCUGGGCUCAACCCAGGAACUGCGUCUGAUACUGGAUGGCUUGAGGUUGGGAGAGGGAUGCGGAAUUCCAGGUGUAGCGGUGAAAUGCGUAGAUAUCUGGAGGAACACCGGUGGCGAAGGCGGCAUCCUGGACCAAUUCUGACGCUGAGGAGCGAAAGCCAGGGGAGCAAACGGG